UCUGACCCAAAAACCUUCAUUUCACAGCUCAAAGUAUUAUGAUUACUGCAUGCAACAGUGGGUGCAUUAAGCCAGAAGAUAACGUCUGCAGAGCUUUGCCUGCAGGUGGAGACAUUAAUGCGCUUCCUCUCCUCUCCUGCAGGUGGUGCCGUUUGGUCCGACAGCGGCUCAGCCCCUUUUGUGGAGAACCUGCAGCUAAAUCGCAAAACAUGAAAGUUUGCGAGCGCGUUUCCCGUCAGGGCACGAAGCCAGAGCAGGAGGAGGAAAACAUGUGCUCUCGCUAAUGACACAGCGUCGGGACUGUCCUUGCUGGGGGAAGGAGGCGUGUCAAGGUGUGCUGCACUUCACAGACGACCACAUCAGACCGAGUCCGGCCAUUAACCUUCCAUCACGGCAAAUAAAGUUGUUUUUUUUCCAUGUU